ACGAACGCUGGCGGCGUGCUUAACACCUGCAAGUCGCACGGAAAGGCCCUGCUUUUGUGGGGUGCUCGAGUGGCGAACGGGUGAGUAACACGUGAGUAACCUGCCCUUGACUUUUGGAUAACUUCAGGAAACUGGGGCUAAUACCGGAUAGGAGCUCCUGCUGCCUGGUGGGGGUUGGAAAGUUUCGGCGGUUGGGGAUGGACUCGCGGCUUAUCAGCUUGUUGGGGGGGUAGUGGCUUACCAAGGCUUUGACGGGUAGCCGGCCUGAGAGGGUGACCGGCCACAUUGGGACUGAGAUACGGCCCAGACUCCUACGGGAGGCAGCAGUGGGGAAUAUUGCACAAUGGGCGGAAGCCUGAUGCAGCAACGCCGCGUGCGGGAUGACGGCCUUCGGGUUGUAAACCGCUUUCGCCUGUGACGAAGCGUGAGUGACGGUAAUGGGUAAAGAAGCACCGGCUAACUACGUG
rnacentral:rRNA from 1 species